UACGUAUGGUGCAAGCGUUAUCCGGAUUUACUGGGUGUAAAGGGAGCGCAGGCGGCGCGUUAAGCCUGGUGUGAAAGCCCGCGGCCCAACCCCGGGACUGCAUUUGGAACUGUUAAGCUGGAGUGUCGGAGAGGCAGGCGGAAUUCCUAGUGUAGCGGUGAAAUGCGUAGAUAUUAGGAGGAACACCAGUGGCGAAGGCGGCCUGCUGGACGAUGACUGACGUUGAGGCUCGAAAGCGUGGGGAGCAAACAGG
rnacentral:rRNA from 1 species